rnacentral:rRNA from 1 species
GAACUGAAGAGUUUGAUCAUGGCUCAGAUUGAACGCUGGCGGCAGGCCUAACACAUGCAAGUCGAGCGGUAGAGAGGUGCUUGCACCUCUUGAGAGCGGCGGACGGGUGAGUAAUGCCUAGGAAUCUGCCUGGUAGUGGGGGAUAACGCUCGGAAACGGACGCUAAUACCGCAUACGUCCUACGGGAGAAAGCAGGGGACCUUCGGGCCUU